CUUAGGGUGUUUGGGCUGCAGGUAACCGAAAACUCAACUCAAACUGGCUCACGCAGAAAGGAAGUGCCUGGUGCCUAGGGGGCGCUCUGUGAGAGCCUGCCUCUACUCUGGUCUCUACUGCCAAUGCUAGAAUACUGGGUGGUAGUUAUCAUAAAAAGAAAACGAUUUCAUAGUUGCACCUCAACGAGUCGGGACACAUCACUAAACCGGUCUGACAUGUGUCAUCUCAGUGAAUGUGCACAUCGACCCUGACAAGCUAAUACAAUAAUGCUCAUUUGACAGACGAGGCAGCUGAAGGUCUGAGGGCGAAGCAGCUCCUUCCGCAGACGGGGUUGAUGGUGGAGCCAGGGACUCUCUCUGACCAUGGAACCCUGCCCUUCUCUUUGCCCUUUGACCCAGUUCUCAGUCCCUGCUGGAUCUAGCAGUCUUCCGGAUGCUCUGGGGUGACUUCACCGGGCUGCCUUUGGCACGAACCCUGCUGUGUGGUGUUGCCUUUAGAACUUACCAGACUGUCUUCUGUGUUGAUUUGCCCAUCAACCUGAUCACACGAGGCUCAGUCUUUCUGAGGUCUCAAGAAAUGUGUGAAUUACGAGGAACAGAAGAGGAACUUGCUAGAAGGACGCAAGGCACUUUGUAGAAAUGGAAAGAGAGAAAGAACUUUCUGGAGGGAAAGCUCCCGAAGCAAGUUUGGAAAGGAUUGGAAAGAGGAUGCCCUGGGCGGGGAGAGGGGUUGGGGGGGGGGUUGGUUGCAUAAACUGGCUAGUAUUCUCUUCUCUGAGGAUGUGUCACUUAGGAUGUUUUGGCUGCAGGUAACAGAAAACUCAACUCAAACUGGCUCAAGCAGAAAGGAAGUUGGUAGGCAGGGCAAUUCUGGGGCUGGUUGACUCAGAGGGUUAAGCAUGUACUUGGGAACCCAGGUUCUCUUUCUUUCUUCCCUCUACCAUCCACAUAUUAACUUCCUUUGAAAGGUCGUUCCCUCGUGCCUGCAAAAUGGCUGCCAGUAGUAAUCAGGCUGUAACGUUAUUAACAUCCAAUAAGGGAAGAAAGAGAGAAAAUGGCUUCCCUGGCUCUCUCUUAUGAGUAAGUGAGGAUUGCUGCCAGAAGUGCCCAGGAAAUCUAUCCAGGUGUCUCAGUGGCCCAGCUGGCUUGGGCCUGUUCACCCCUGAAUCAGUCAUCGGCAAGAGACACAGCGGGCGACUCUUGGCCCCCCAGAGGACAUUUGGCAAUGUGGAGAGACAUUUUUGGGCUGUGUUAGUGGACUCUCACGGGUGGAAGUCAGGGAAGUCAGGGAAGUCAGGCAGACGGAUGUCCUACAAGGCCCGGAACAGCCCCACCCCUUCUUCACACACUACAGAAGAUGAUCUGCUCCAAAUGUCAAUAGUACAGAGGUUGGGGAACCUCUAGAUAGACUAAUCGGGCCCUCUCUGCACCUGGGGUACAAUAACUGGUGGGGAGUCACCUACAGUGUCCAUUGCAAACUUUUUUCAGAAUUUUUUGGUCACUCCAUUUGAGAUGAAAAUUUCACAGAGGUUUUUUUUUUUUUUGGUGGUCCAGGUCACUUGCCCAUUCAGAGGCUAAUAGAGUGCAACCCCCUCCCCCCCCCCCCCCACGAGUUCCCCCACAGGAAGAUUGGGAUC
ensembl:lncRNA